UUAAAGUUUUAUUUUGGCUUAUAAUUUUGUUGUUAAUAUAUUUUAUAUGUAAAUUUUUGUGUGAAUUUUUAUUUAUUUUAAUAAUGAAUAAAUUAUCAAUAAUCUCAGUAAUUAGUUUUAUUAAUCAAAGAAAUUUGGAAAUAGUAAUUUUAUUAAGUAUUGGUUAAAUUUGUGCCAGCAUCCGCGGUUAUACAAAUAAUACAAAUAAAAUUUGUUCAGUGAAAGUUAAUUUUUAUUAAAAUAAAAUAGAUAUAAAUUUAUUAGGUGAAAUUUUAAAUUUAUUAAUUUUUAUAAUUGAAUUAGUGAAGCUUGUAAAUUUUAAUUAAAAACUAGGAUUAGAUACCCUAUUAUUUAAAAUGUAAAAAUAAGCACUUAGGUAGUAUUAGUUAUGUUCUUGAAACUUAAAAAAUUUGGCGGUAUUUUAGUCUAUUCAGAGGAACCUGUCCUAUAAUUGAUAAUCCACGAUGUACCUCACUUAAAUUUGUUUUUCAGUUUAUAUACCGUCGUUAUCAGAAUAUUUUAUUAGAAUAAUAAUUUUCAAUAAUUUAGUUUAUAAUUUAUAUCAGAUCAAGGUGUAGCUUAUAUUUAAGAAGAGAUGGGUUACAAUAAAUUUAUUUAAACGGAUUUAAUUUUUAAAUAUUUUAAUGAAGGUGGAUUUGAUAGUAAAAAUUAAAAGAUUAUAGUUUUGAUUUUAGCUCUAAAAUAUGCACACAUCGCCCGUCACUCUUACUAUUAAGGUAAGAUAAGUCGUAACAUAGUAGAUGUACCGGAAGGUGUAUCUAGAAUGA